rnacentral:rRNA from 1 species
UACGGGGGUGCAAGCGUUAUCCGGAUUCACUGGGUUAAAGGGUGUGUAGGCGGAUCUUUAAGUCAGUGGUGAAAUCUCCAGGCUCAACCUGGAAACUGCCAUUGAUACUAUUGGUCUUGAAUUCUGUUGAGGUGGGCGGAAUACAUCAUGUAGCGGUGAAAUGCUUAGAUAUCUGGAGGAACACCGGUGGCGAAGGCGGCAUCCUGGACCGGUAGUUGACACUGAGGC